AGUGAACGCUGGCGGUAGGCCUAACACAUGCAAGUCGAACGGCAGCACAGUAAGAGCUUGCUCUUACGGGUGGCGAGUGGCGGACGGGUGAGGAAUACAUCGGAAUCUACUUUUUCGUGGGGGAUAACGUAGGGAAACUUACGCUAAUACCGCAUACGACCUACGGGUGAAAGCAGGGGAUCUUCGGACCUUGCGCGAUUGAAUGAGCCGAUGUCGGAUUAGCUAGUUGGCGGGGUAAAGGCCCACCAAGGCGACGAUCCGUAGCUGGUCUGAGAGGAUGGUCAGCCACACUGGAACUGAGACACGGUCCAGACUCCUACGGGAGGCAGCAGUGGGGAAUAUUGGACAAUGGGCGCAAGCCUGAUCCAGCCAUACCGCGUGGGGGAAAAAGGCCUUCGGGUUGUAAAGCCCUUUUGUUGGGAAAGAAAAGCAGCAGGUUAAUACCCCGCUGUUCUGACGGUACCCAAAGAAUAAGCACCGGCUAACUUCGUG
rnacentral:rRNA from 1 species